CCUACGGGGGGCAGCAGUGGGGAAUAUUGGACAAUGGGCGAAAGCCUGAUCCAGCCAUGCCGCGUGUGUGAAGAAGGCCUUCGGGUUGUAAAGCACUUUCUGUGGGGAAGAAAGCCUUGGGGCUAAUACCCUCGAGGAAGGACAUCACCCACAGAAGAAGCACCGGCUAACUCCGUGCCAGCAGCCGCGGUAAUACGGAGGGUGCGAGCGUUAAUCGGAAUUACUGGGCGUAAAGCGCGCGUAGGCGGUCUGAUAAGCCGGUUGUGAAAGCCCCGGGCUCAACCUGGGAACGGCAUCCGGAACUGUCAGGCUAGAGUGCAGGAGAGGAAGGUAGAAUUCCCGGUGUAGCGGUGAAAUGCGUAGAGAUCGGGAGGAAUACCAGUGGCGAAGGCGGCCUUCUGGACUGACACUGACGCUGAGGUGCGAAAGCGUGGGUAGCAAACAGGAUUAGAUACCCGGGUAGUC
rnacentral:rRNA from 1 species